rnacentral:rRNA from 1 species
AGAGUUUGAUCAUGGCUCAGAUUGAACGCUGGCGGCAGGCUUAACACAUGCAAGUCGAGCGGAAACGAUGGUAGCUUGCUACCAGGCGUCGAGCGGCGGACGGGUGAGUAAUACUUAGGAAUCUACCUAGUAGUGGGGGAUAGCACGGGGAAACUCGUAUUAAUACCGCAUACGACCUACGGGAGAAAGGGGGCAGUUUACUGCUCUCGCUAUUAGAUGAGCCUAAGUCGGAUUAGCUAGAUGGUGGGGUAAAGGCCUACCAUGGCGACGAUCUGUAGCUGGUCUGAGAGGAUGAUCAGCCACACCGGGACUGAGACACGGCCCGGACUCCUACGGGAGGCAGCAGUGGGGAAUAUUGGACAAUGGGGGAAACCCUGAUCCAGCCAUGCCGCGUGUGUGAAGAAGGCCUUUUGGUUGUAAAGCACUUUAAGCAGUGAAGAAGACUCUUCGGUUAAUACCCGGAGACGAUGACAUUAGCUGCAGAAUAAGCACCGGCUAACUCUGUGCCAGCAGCCGCGGUAAUACAGAGGGUGCAAGCGUUAAUCGGAAUUACU